GGCAUCAAUGAGCCGAGGCUGAGCCCAGGGCGCCAGUACCUAUUCACGAGCUGUCAUUACAUGUAUUAAUACGUGUAGCGAUUGCUGCCUGUUUCACAACUUGUCACCAACGAAAUGUAGAUUUUUCUUUUACCGUCCCUUUCUACGAGCUUAUUUUGAUCGCGCAAAAAGAGGCAAAGAAAACUCGAAAUGAGGCAAGACAGGAAACAGCCUCUACGGAAGCCGACAGGUGCUUGGCUGUUAUUGUUGUUUUUUUGUCAGGCGCCUCUUCGCGCCAGUGACGUUGGCGCUGCUCCAGGGAGUUAGCAAACGAACUCAGUUAGCUUAUUUCACAACUCUCAAGACGGAGGAGAAUUAUAUAAGUCGCCUUAAGACAUUUUCAUAACAAAAGCUCAUAACUGAUGGAAGAGCAACGCCGGAGCUUAAAUGUGUGCUUCAAACUACGGGACAGAAGACUCGCACCUUUCAAACGGACUGGUGCACCCGAAAAGACUGGCUGUGCUGCCACAAACCGACUGUACCGUUUUCCCUGCUUACUGUUUUUAACCUGUGAUAAAGUCUGGACUAACACGGGAUAUUGUGACAUGAAAAACAUUAGCGUCCGCAAUGAAAAGGCUUUUCUUCCCAUGUUAGACGUGUAGAGAACCGAGUCGUGUUCAAGAUAAGGUAAUUUCUAGUUCUUACAUAAUUUUGUGUGCAGUUUGUUGGCCUACCAAUCCAUGUGUUCUCUGAGCUACUGUAAGUCCGGAGUCCCGUUGUGUCUCAAAUAGAAAGUCAGCCAUGUUAAUUAUGUUAAUUAUUACUUUGUUUUCUUCAUUGUGUGUGUGUGUUUUUUUGUCUUUUUUGUUUCUAGCAUAAGUUAUAGUGUUUAGUUUGAUGUUCAUUUUUUUGUUCUUUAUCAAAUAAUUUAAACCAUCAGCAACUCUUUCAGGCUCUGACUUGAAGAUGUCUUUGUUGAAAAAAACAAGGAAACAAACUCACUCUGAUGGUUGUUGUUUAAAAAGUUUGGCAAGGUUCUCCGACCAGUUGCUCUUGUAGGACAUAUUUUUUUCUGGACCAGGUGCAGCAAAUUCUCGUCUCUCAUGGGGCCUA